rnacentral:rRNA from 1 species
AACGAACGCUGGCGGCAGGCUUAACACAUGCAAGUCGAACGGGUGUAGCAAUACAUCAGUGGCAGACGGGUGAGUAACACGUGGGAACCUUCCUAGAGGUACGGAACAACGCAGGGAAACUUGCGCUAAUACCGUAUACGCUCUUGCGAGGAAAGAUUUAUCGCCUUUAGACGGGCCCGCGGCGGAUUAGCUAGUUGGUAAGGUAACGGCUUCCCAAGGCGACGAUCCGUAGGUGAGCUGAGAGGUUGAUCAGCCACACUGGGACUGAUACACGGCCCAGACUCCUACGGGAGGCAGGAGUGGGGAAUCUUGGACACUGGGCGCAAGCCUGAGCCGGUCAUGCCGCGUGAAUGAAGAAGGCCUUCGGGUUGUAAAGCUCUUUUGUCAGGGACGGUAAUGACGGUACCUGAGGAAUAAGCCCCGGCAAACUUCGUGCCAGCCGCCGCCGUAA